rnacentral:rRNA from 1 species
ACGGGAGGCAGCAGUGAGGAAUAUUGCGCAAUGGAGGGAACUCUGACGCAGCGACGCCGCGUGAGGGAAGAAGGUUUUCGAAUUGUAAACCUCUGUCCUCAGGGAAGAAAAGAAUGACGGUACCUGGGGAGGAAGCCCCGGCUAACUACGUGCCAGCAGCCGCGGUAAUACGUAGGGGGCGAGCGUUGUCCGGAAUUAUUGGGUGUAAAGGGCGCGUAGGCGGCUUAGCAAGUCAAGCGUGAAAACUGGAGGCUUAACCUUCAGCCUGCGUUUGAAACUGUUGAGCUUGAGUGAAGUAGAGGCAAGUGGAAUUUCCAGUGUAGCGGUGAAAUGCGUAGAUAUUGGAAGGAACACCGGUGGCGAAGGCGGCUUGCUGGGCUUUGACUGACGCUGAGGCGCGAAAGCGUGGGUAGCAAACAGGAUUAGAUACCCUGGUA